rnacentral:rRNA from 1 species
CCACGCAUGCCUUAGUACGGCGAGUGAAGCGGCAAAAGCUCAAAUUUGAAAUCUGGCACCUUCGGUGUCCGAGUUGUAAUUUGAAGAAGGUAACUUUGGAGUUGGCUCUUGUCUAUGUUCCUUGGAACAGGACGUCACAGAGGGUGAGAAUCCCGUGCGAUGAGAUGCCCAAUUCUAUGUAAAGUGCUUUCGAAGAGUCGAGUUGUUUGGGAAUUGA